rnacentral:rRNA from 1 species
UGGGGAAUAUUGCACAAUGGGGGAAACCCUGAUGCAGCGACGCCGCGUGAGCGAAGAAGGCCUUCGGGUCGUAAAGCUCUUUUAUGAGGGAAGAUAAUGACGGUACCUCAAGAAAAAGCCCCGGCUAACUACGUGCCAGCAGCCGCGGUAAUACGUAGGGGGCUAGCGGUGUCCGGAAUCACUGGGCGUAAAGGGUUCGCAGGCGGAAUAACAAGUCAGAUGUGAAAGGCAUGGGCUCAACCCAUGUAAGCAUUUGAAACUGUAAUUCUUGAGAAGUGGAGAGGUAAGUGGAAUUCCCAGUGUAGCGGUGAAAUGCGUAGAUAUUAGGAAGAAAAACUGUGGCGAAGGCGACUUACUGGACACAAAUCAGACGCUGAGGAACGAAAGCGUGGGUAGCAAACAGG